GACGAAGGGGGCUAGCGUUGUUCGGAAUUACUGGGCGUAAAGCGAGUGUAGGUGGUUGUCGUAGUCAGGCGUGAAAGCCUUGAGCUCAACUCAAGAAAUGCGCUUGAUACUGGGCAGCUAGAGGACCGGAGAGGAUAGUGGAAUUCCCAGUGUAGUGGUGAAAUACGUAGAGAUUGGGAAGAACACCAGUGGCGAAGGCGGCUAUCUGGACGGUUUCUGACACUAAGGUGCGAAAGCGUGGGGAGCAAACAGG
rnacentral:rRNA from 1 species